rnacentral:rRNA from 1 species
AACGUAGGACACAAGCGUUAUCCGGAGUUACUGGGCGUAAAGGGCGUGUAGGCGGAUCGGUAAGUCUACUCUGAAAGCUCCUGGCUAAACUGGGAGAGGCGAGUGGAGACUGUCGGUCUAGAGUGAGGAAGAGGAAAGUGGAAUUCCGCGUGUAGUGGUGAAAUGCGUAGAGAUGCGGAGGAACACCGGUGGUGUAGACGGCUUUCUGGACCGUAACUGACGCUGAGACACGAAAGCGUGGGUAGCAAACAGG